rnacentral:rRNA from 1 species
UGAGGAAUCUUGCGCAAUGGGGGCAACCCUGACGCAGCAACGCCGCGUGAGUGAGGAAGGCCUUCGGGUCGUAAAGCUCUGUCGGAUGGAAAGAAACGAAUGCGGGUUAAUAGCCUUCAUUCUUGACGGUACCAUCAGAGGAAGCACCGGCUAACUCCGUGCCAGCAGCCGCGGUAAUACGGGGGGUGCAAGCGUUGUUCGGAAUCAUUGGGCGUAAAGCGCGUGUAGGCGGCUUGGUAAGUCAGGUGUGAAAGCCCUGGGCUCAACCCAGGAAGUGCACUUGAAACUGCCGUGCUGGAGUACGGGAGAGGAAAGCGGAAUUCCUGGUGUAGAGGUGAAAUUCGUAGAUAUCAGGAGGAACACCGGUGGCGAAGGCGGCUUUCUGGCCCAAUACUGACGCUGAGACGCGAAAGCGUGGGGAGCAAACA